GGUUUUUGUAAAUGUGAGCCAAAAUUAUCACAAUUAAAAGAACCAUAAACUACUUCAAUCUGUGUGCACUGAAUUUAUUUAAUACACAAGUGAGUUGAAAUGCUGAAAUAAAUUAACUUUUCUACAACAUUCUAAUUUAUUGAGAUGCACCUGUAUGUUCUGUGCAUACAGAUUUCAAGGGGCCUGGUAAUGUAAGUCCUCUAUAAUGUGUAUUCCUUAGUUUUUGUAUGAGUGUUGUGUGUGUUCCAAUUACUGCGGGCCUCAGAGCACAGUAGUACACAGCAGAGUCAGACACAUGUAGGUUCUUGAUUGUCAGUGGAAUGUUCUUGAUGUGGAGUUCAGUGUUGCAGAAUAUUUCUUUAUAAAAUCAGGCUCAGUGGUGUAUUGAUUCAGAAUGAAUGUUGGUGAUCUGUUUGGUAGUUGUUUGUACCAAAAGAGGUACAGAUUUGUAGAAGUAGUAGUAUAAUUACACAUUAAAAUAACUUGAGCUCCUUCUCUUUCAGUCAUUUCUCUUGAAGACUGUUCAACCCUGUCCUGUGCUGAGGACACUGGAAAAAAAAAUAGAUAUGAAAAACAGUGAAUCUGGGAUCUACAUCAGACUUCUUAGCGUCUUUUGCACCAUAAAAGAGGAUUACAAGGAAUUCAGGAGCUGAUCCGGGAUACUGACGGUACCAGAAUAAAGACUGUGCAGAUGAAUAACUGCAGGAUAAUGUAACACUUGAACCUUCAACAGCAAACUCCUCAGAUUUGGUUGGUCUGAUUUCAUUUCCAUAGUACCUGCAAAAAUAAAUCAGCUUUUAUGAAUGUGUAUUUAGAAUGAAUCAGGUUUAAUCAGUGAUAUUUUAAAGGUAUGAAUAUCACCUUAAUUAAAAUUCCUCACAUUAUGGUUGAUUAGAAUACUAAGAUGCAAUGCCAGUAAAUUAAUAUUUACAUGUAAAGAUAAAUAGCAGAAUAAUAGAAUGGUGUACCAUUGUCUAGGUUCACUAAUGCAGAUUAAAUAAGC
rnacentral:lncRNA from 12 species